rnacentral:rRNA from 1 species
UACGUAGGGUGCGAGCGUUGAUCGGAAUUACUGGGCGUAAAGCGUGCGCAGGCGGUUUUUUAAGUCAGCUGUGAAAUCCCCGGGCUUAACCUGGGAAUGGCAUUUGGGACUGCAAGGCUGGAGUGCGGCAGAGGAGACUGGAAUUCCUGGUGUAGCAGUGAAAUGCGUAGAUAUCAGGAGGAACACCGAUGGCGAAGGCAGGUCUCUGGGCUGACACUGACGCUGAUGCACGAAAGCGUGGGGAGCAAACAGG